GACGUAGGGCGCGAGCGUUGUCCGGAUUUAUUGGGCGUAAAGAGCUCGUAGGCGGCUUGUCGCGUCGAGUGUGAAAUCCUGCGGCUCAACUGCGGGCUUGCAUUCGAUACGGGCAGGCUGGAGUUCGGUAGGGGGUAGCGGAAUUCCCGGUGUAGUGGUGGAAUGCGUAGAUAUCGGGAGGAACACCAGUGGCGAAGGCGGCUACCUGGACCGGUUCUGACACUGAGGAGCGAAAGCGUGGGGAGCGAUCCGG
rnacentral:rRNA from 1 species